rnacentral:rRNA from 1 species
GUGCCAGCCGCCGCGGUAAUACGUAGGUGGCGAACGUUGUCCGGAUUUACUGGGCGUAAAGCGCGCGCAGGUGGACUGGUAAGUCAGAGGUGAAAUCUCCCGGCUCAACUGGGAGGGGCCCUUUGAUACUGCCAGCCUUGAGAUGCCUAGAGGAGAGUGGAAUUCCCGGUGUAGUGGUGGAAUGCGUAGAUAUCGGGAGGAACACCAGUGGCGAAAGCGGCUCUCUGGGGGCGAUCUGACGCUGAGGCGCGAAAGCGUGGGGAGCAAACCGGAUUAGAUACCCGUGUAGUCC